UUCUUCCAGACGGAGGUGCUCG
rnacentral:miRNA from 1 species